AUGGUUGUGCAUCAUAGAAUUGAUGAUCAAUUCCUGGACUCAUGUGAUGAGAAGCCCCGGAGUCUAAGCACCAAUUGUCAUCAACCAUCUCUUCAGUAGAUAAAUUUGACAUCGAAUCCACAAGGGUACCUGCAACAUAUGCAAAAUUUCCCCUCUCUGGACAUAACCUAGCAGCAUGACCCCCUUUAUUACAAAUUUGACAAUUUGUAAUGGGAAUCGCAGACUGUGGUGGCUGUCCACGAGACCAACCACCUCUGCCACCAUGAUUUUGAGAUCCCUGCUGAAAUCGACCUCCAGAACCCUGCUGGAAUCUACCACGAUUUGCAUUAUAUCCUCUUUUAAAAUAUUUUUUACCUCGAUUGUAUUUUCCAGAUGAAGCUUGUGCCACAAAAGCCGAUGAUGAUCCAGAUGUUGCCAAUGAUUUCUUCUGAAAUCAACAGAUGAUAGACAUCGUCGAAAUUGAGAAACCUCUGAGCAUUGAUCGUGGUUGAGAAAGCAGGAAAUUCUGCCG
rnacentral:lncRNA from 1 species